CCUACGGGUGGCAGCAGUGAGGAAUAUUGGUCAAUGGUCGGGAGACUGAACCAGCCAAGCCGCGUGAGGGAGGAAGGUACAGAGUAUCGUAAACCUCUUUUGUCAGGGAACAAAGACUGGGACGCGUCCCCGGAUGCGUGUACCUUACGAACAAGCAUCGGCUAACUCCGUGCCAGCAGCCGCGGUAAUACGGAGGAUGCGAGCGUUAUCCGGAUUUAUUGGGUUUAAAGGGUGCGCAGGCGGUCGGAUAAGUUAGAGGUGAAAUCCCGAGGCUCAACUUCGGAAUUGCCUCUGAUACUGGUGGGCUAGAGAGUAGUUGCGGUAGGCGGAAUGUAUGGUGUAGCGGUGAAAUGCUUAGAGAUCAUACAGAACACCGAUUGCGAAUGCAGCUUACCAAGCUACGUCUGACGUUGAGGCACGAAAGCGUGGGGAGCAAACAGGAUUAGAUACCCUGGUAGUC
rnacentral:rRNA from 1 species